rnacentral:rRNA from 1 species
CAGACGAUGCGUCAUGCAUAUCAAUAAGCGGAGGAAAAGAAACUAACAAGGAUUCCCCUAGUAACGGCGAGUGAAGCGGGAAGAGCUCAAAUUUGAAAUCUUAAAGGGUUUCCCUUUACGAAUUGUAGUUUAAAGAAGUGUUUUCUGUUGAGGUUUUGGUAAAAGUUCUUUGGAAUAGGACAUCAUAGAGGGUGGGAAUCCCGUAUUUGACCUUUACUUUCAACUUUGUGAUACACUUUCAAAGAGUCGGAUUGUUUGGGAAUGCAGUCCAAAAUGGGUGGUAAAUUUCAUCUAAAGCUAAAUAUUGGCGAGAGACCGAUAGCGAACAAGUACCGUGAGGGAAAGAUGAAAAGAACUUUGAAAAGAGAGUUAAACAGUACGUGAAAUUGUCAAAAGGGAAGCGUUUGACACCAGUGUUGUUUUUCUGAAAAUCAAUUAAAGAACUGUUUAUGCUAAGUUGUUUAGACUUUAUCAGCUAACUGUUUAGUUUUGAGCUUUUCUUUAAUGCACUUUUCAGUUAACAAGUCAACAUCAAUUUCUUUUGCUGUAAAAAAGCUUGAGGAAGGUGGCUUGAGAUUCGUCUUAAGUGUUUAUAGCCUCUUGCCUAUGCAGUCGGAGAGAUUGAGGUCUGCAGCGUAGAUCCUUCGGGGCUAAAUGCAUUUGUGCUAAGUUAUAGCAUUUUAUAGACAACUUGUUGACUAUGAUUUGUCUUGUAGCUUACUCGCUUAUGUUAUUUUACCUACGCUUAGGAUGUUGACACACGCGCGUGCUCG